GGGUUGAAUGCAAGGGAUUAUGGGAGUUGUAGUUGGAUGAGCAACAGUGUUUGCUGAUGCAUGUGUUCCAAUUUGUUCUAAGAGUUUUGUUUGAAAAUAUUUCAUUGGUAAAGUGAAAUGUAUUGUGUUACAUGCAAUAUUUUGAUGUUUGAAUGUAAAAUGUAUUUAAUUGUAUUACUGUUGUAUGCACUGAGUAACGUUAGGUGAAAGGUGGCAAAUCCCGCAAAAGGAAGAGAAGAUAGAGUUGAAGUCAAGAAGCCAAGUUACUAACUGUCUCCGUGUGUUUUAAGCAGAUGUAAGAAUUAUAACGUGACAAACGGUAUAUAUUUGCAAGUUGGACGUUAUCUAUGUUUAUCAGCGUGUCCGGACUGAAUACGCGAAGUUUGAACUGUAAGAUAGUCGACGGUUUGCAGAAGUUCAUCAUCUCGCCAUUGUGAGGAGACUGCACUUUCCAUUGUGAGAGACUUCCCUGUUGUUGCUCGACGGCAGCUCGACAACAACUCGACAACCCUUGGAUUAAGCACAAGACCUAAAGCCAGACAUUGACGGACUGACCACGGGAAAACGGUGUCAGACAUCCGGCCAGAAAACAAAUAGAUGCGGAGGAUGUGUGAUAUGGUGUCCUAGGGAGAGGAAGGAUCUACUUGGUGUGUUCAAGGCCAUGAAGCAUCACCUCAUCAACUUCACCCGGAACUUGACCAAUAUAGUUGUGAACUAAAACAAGUCUUAUUGUUAUUUUGAGUUAAUUACAUAAACUACUUGGUAUGUGUAGCAAUGUAUUCAGUGUGUUUACAGGUGUAUGUGUUCAUACAGCCAAAUGUUUACUCUAAUCAAAACCAUCUCUCAUUAGUUGGUUGUUAGUUGGUUGUUAGUUGGUCCUCUGCAAGGCUGUCUGCAGCCAUUUGUUUUUGUAAAAUGCCACAUCUGUCACACAUGUUCUUAACAACUCACAAUUAUUUGUUGUACCAUAGUUGUAACAAAAAAGCUUUGAACAAAGUUAAUGUAGGCUAAUAACUUGUGUUUCAUAUUUGUCUUUGUUAUUCACUUUAAAAGUUUGAUCUUUGUUAGAGUAAUGCAGGUUUCUUAACCCUAAAUCAAAAUAAUUUAUGUUAUAAUAGAGAAAUGUGCUUACAUAUAUUUAUAUAAAUGUAUGUACAAUAUUUUUACACUUGAAUAAACAAUAAUCAAAUGCAAAGUUAUUUAACAAUAUGUUAGGGAGUAGUUACAUUUAUACAGUCUUACAUUUACAACCAGCCCUUUGAUGGCAACCAUAAUGCUGAUGUGGCCCAGGGUGAAAAUGAGUUCGACACCCCUGGUCUUACAGUUACAAACGGCCCUUUGAGGGCAACCAUAAUGCUGAUGUGGCCCAGGGUGAAAAUGAGUUUGACACCCCUGGUCUUACAGUUACAAACGGCCCUUUGAGGGCAACCAUAAUGCUGAUGUGGCCCAGGGUGAAAAUGAGUUAGACACCCCUGCUAAAGGUAUCAGCUUCAGCAACACAAGGCAUUUAUAACUAUCUGACCAAAUCAACCUGGUGUAUUGAUGCAGAAAAUGCCUUCAUUAUGGUGUGGGGGUCACUAAGAGCUGAGUGCUACAGGCAAUUUGUCACACAAGUGUCCAGGAUUCAUUAGGAUUUUGUAGAAUAACCCCUCUUUGGCUGCACCUGACCGGUGAGCCCUGACCACUGUGUUUUUCUAGGCAGUGCUGUUUAUUUGAAUAUUUCUUACCUGCAUUUAUGCUUUAUUUUCAGCUUGCACAACAUUUGCUUGAUAAACCCCACCACCCAAUCUGCUUUCCACUGCCCAAGUUGUAUUUUCUCAUCUGUAAAGUACUUUGAAUGACCCCAGUGUUUGAAGUGUACGAUGCUAAAUAAAUGAACCUGCCGUGCCUUACCACGCCUUGUACCAAUGACCGUAUAUACAAUUGAUGCUUCACACCCAUUGGCCGGAAAGGCCAGCUCCACCCCUGAUCAAAUGUUACGCAAUAUUCCAUUCGUUGGACAACCAAAAUUACCAUAACAUAUCUUGACUCUUUUAGGUGUGUAAUAUAUUACUUGAUGAAUGUUUUAAUGACAGCAGUGAAGCAUUUUUUUUGCAAUCAAUCUUAUUUCAUGAUGAUAUAUAAUAAUAAUAAUAAUGGAUUUUAUUUGUAUAGCACACUUUAAAAUACAAAGAAAUCUCAAGGUGCUUAACAUAGUAUAGACAGUCACAACAACAAUAAUACAAAGUAAUAGAAGUGCUAAUGAAGUGCAGAAAAUAGGAUAAUAUAAUAUACCAAAAAAGAUAAUAAAUGAAUUUAAAAUAAUUAAUAAGAUUAUAAUGAGAUCGAAUAAUAUGUAUUAAAAACAGUCAUUUUGGACAGAGCAAUUAAAACAAUGCAUAUAUGUAUCACUGAUACCUCUAAUAUAGGAUUGAAAGAAAUACAUCAAACUAUCAGUAUUGGACUGGAGUGACCUUGAUUGAUUCAUCCCGGAAAUCAGAUGUUUUUAAAUAGCAGGCAUAUGUUUUAAGGUGGUUCUUUUGAUGUUGUAUGGUUCACUUUCAUGAAUUUCUUUGAGGAUCUUCGUGGUCAGGAUCAUAUUGCUGUGAAAUUGCUCAGUAAACUAUAUUAAAGCUGGGUUAUCUGUGAGAGGUGAAAGUAAGAGAAAGAGAAAGAAGAGAUGAUAUGAUAGUCGUACUUUUUGUGCAGUCACACCACUGCACUUUUUAUUUGCACAUCUGAUUAGAAGGACAUUUAUUUCCUUGUGGAAAUCAUGGCAGAUAUGAAUGUGUCAUGAACAAAAUGUUGUGGUAUACUAAGGACAGUUUAUGGCAAGAUUUAAAUGAACUACGGUGUAAUUUUUGUCAUGUUCGUAUACCCCAGCAAUGUUUAAACGGAUGUUUUGCUCAUCAUGGAACCAGCUCAGGAUCGGCCUUGUGCUCGAUCACACACUCCUGUCCAUGGUGUUGGCUGAGGUGUUUUUGUUGUUCUGCGUCGCUCCUACCGAGUGGGUCGGAGGCAGAGAUGGG
ensembl:lncRNA